rnacentral:rRNA from 1 species
GACGAACGCUGGCGGCGUGCUUAACACAUGCAAGUCGAACGAUGAAGCUGGAGCUUGCUCCGGUGGAUUAGUGGCGAACGGGCGAGUAACACGUGAGCAAUCUGCCCUUGACUCUGGGAUAACUGCGGGAAACUGUAGCUAAUACCGGAUACUUUCACUGGAAGGCAUCUUCUGGUGAAGAAAGAAUUUCGGUCAAGGAUGAGCUCGCGGCCUAUCAGAUUGUUGGUGAGGUAACGGCUCACCAAGGCGACGACGGGUAGCCGGCCUGGGAGGGUGACCGGCCACACUGGGACUGAGACACGGCCCAGACUCCUACGGGAGGCAGCAGUGGGGAAUAUUGCACAAUGGGCGCAAGCCUGAUGCAGCAACGCCGCGUGAGGGAUGAAGGCCUUCGGGUUGUAAACCUCUUUUAGCAGGGAAGAAGCGAAAGUGACGGUACCUGCAGAAAAAGCACCGGCUAACUACGUGCCAGCCGCCGCCGUAA